UGCGGCUGGAUCACCUCCUUUCUAAGGAAGAUGUUGAGUAUCAUUGAAUUUAUUGAGUGAUCUGAACGUUUUUUGAAGAUUAAAGCUUUUAAUUAAGCUUGAUAUAAAUUUGCUGUUGUGAAGCAGCGUUUUUAAAAGGAUCGCCGUCCAUGUUUCUCUUUCUUUUCGGAUUUUUUGCGAUGAUGGGGGGUCGUUAAUAUUUGGUUUUGAGGGCCCGUAGCUCAGGUGGUUAGAGUGCACCCCUGAUAAGGGUGAGGUCGGUAGUUCAAAUCUACCUGGGCCCACCACUUUUUGUUCAGGGGGCCGUAGCUCAGUCGGUAGAGCGCCUGCUUUGCAAGCAGGAUGCCAGCGGUUCGAUUCCGCUCGGCUCCACCAUUGGCGUAAUUAUGGAAUUUUGUUCUGAUUUUUUGGAGCAAGAGUUUUUUGAAAAUUGAAUAGAAGAUAUAUUUUUUUGUAUUUUUUAUGUUGGCAUUGUAUGCGACAUAUAAGAUACCGGCGUUGUUAACCGCACGUUGAGAAUUUAUCUCAGGAAAUUGGUCUAUUGAAGAAGCAUAAGGAUAUUAUGUUUUUUUUAAUAAUAAAGAGUU
rnacentral:tRNA from 1 species